rnacentral:rRNA from 1 species
GAUGAACGCUGGCGGCGUGCCUAAUACAUGCAAGUCGAACGCUGGAAAUCUAUCUUGCUAGAUGGAAGGAGUGGCGAAAGGGUGAGUAAUACAUAAGCAACCUACCCACGAAGACUGGGAUAAUCUCUGAAAACGGGGACUAAUGCCGGAUAUGUAAUCGGAAGGCAUCUUCUGAUUAUUAAAGGUUAAAAACACUGGUGGAUGGGCUUAUGGCGCAUUAGUUAGUUGGUGGGGUAACGGGCCACCAAGACGAUGAUGCGUAGCCGGCCUGAGAGGGUGAACGGGCAAAUUGGGACUGAGACAACGCCCAGAAUCCUACGGGAGGCAGCAGUAGGGGAUUUUCGGCAAUGGGGGAAAACCUGACCAAGCAACGCCGCGUGAGUGAUGACGGCCUUCGGGUUGUAAAGCUCUGUUGUAAGGGAAGAAAGGUAGAUAGAGAAUAUCUAAAUGACGGUACCUUACCAGAAAGCCACGGCUAACUACGUG